AUUGAACGCUGGCGGCAUGCUUUACACAUGCGAGUCGAACGGCAGCGAGAGAGAAGCUUGCUUCUCUUGUCGGCGAGUGGCGAACGGGUGAGUAAUACAUCGGAACGUACCCUGUAGUGGGGGAUAACUACUCGAAAGAGUAGCUAAUACCGCAUACAACCUGAGGGUAAAAGUGGGGGACCGCAAGGCCUCACGCUAUAGGAGCGGCCGAUGGAAGAUUAGCUAGUUGGUAGGGUAAAGGCCUACCAAGGCGACGAUCUUUAGCGGGUCUGUGAGGACGAUCCACCACACUGGGACUGAGACACGGCCCAGACUCCUACGGGAGGCAGCAGUGGGGAAUUUUGGACAAUGGGCGAAAGCCUGAUCCAGCAAUGCCGCGUGAGUGAAGAAGGCCUUCGGGUUGUAAAGCUCUUUUGUUUGGGAAGAAAUCCUAACGGAUAAUACCUGUUGGGGAUGACGGUACCAAAAGAAUAAGCACCGGCUAACUACGUGCCAGCCGCCGCCGUAA
rnacentral:rRNA from 1 species